rnacentral:rRNA from 1 species
UACGGGGGGGGCAAGCGUUGUUCGGAAUUACUGGGCGUAAAGGGCGCGUAGGUGGCCUGCUAAGUCGGAUGUGAAAUCCCUCGGCUCAACCGAGGAACUGCAUCCGAUACUGGCGGGCUUGAAUCCGGGAGAGGGAUGUGGAAUUCCAGGUGUAGCGGUGAAAUGCGUAGAUAUCUGGAGGAACACCGGUGGCGAAGGCGGCAUCCUGGACCGGUAUUGACGCUGAGGCGCGAAAGCUAGGGGAGCAAACGGG